rnacentral:rRNA from 1 species
AAAGAGGGGGGACAACAGUUGGAAACGACUGCUAAUACCGCAUAAGCCCACGGGUCGGCAUCGACCAGAGGGAAAAGGAGCAAUCCGCUUUGAGAUGGCCUCGCGUCCGAUUAGCUGGUUGGUGAGGUAAUGGCCCACCAAGGCGACGAUCGGUAGCCGGACUGAGAGGUUGAACGGCCACAUUGGGACUGAGACACGGCCCAGACUCCUACGGGAGGCAGCAGUGGGGAAUAUUGCACAAUGGGGGAAACCCUGAUGCAGCGACGCCGCGUGGAGGAAGAAGGUCUUCGGAUUGUAAACUCCUGUUGUUGAGGAAGAUAAUGACGGUACUCAACAAGGAAGUGACGGCUAACUACGUGCCAGCAGCCGCGGUAAAACGUAGGUCACAAGCGUUGUCCGGAAUUACUGGGUGUAAAGGGAGCGCAGGCGGGAAGACAAGUUGGAAGUGAAAUCUAUGGGCUCAACCCAUAAACUGCUUUCAAAACUGUUUUUCUUGAGUAGUGCAGAGGUAGGCGGAAUUCCCGGUGUAGCGGUGGAAUGCGUAGAUAUCGGGAGGAACACCAGUGGCGAAGGCGGCCUACUGGGCACCAACUGACGCUGAGGCUCGAAAGUGUGGGUAGCAAACAGGAUUAGAUACCCUGGUAGUCCACACCGUAAAC